AUGGAUCUAGAAACAAGUUGUAUAGCAAUAGCAGCACAUUGUAUGAUAGAAGUUUGGCUCAGAGUCAGCAUUGCCAUUUCCUAGCAUUGUGAAUAUUUUCUUCUGGCACAGCUCCUGUUCUUUUCAGCAGCUGCGUGACAGGAAGGAAUCCAGCAGCAUAACCAUUUCCCAAGCAAGGAGUGAUGCAACAAUGAGAAAGCAAUCUUGUGCUGACUUUAAAAAACAUUAAGCAGGUCUGGCUGAGAGAUACAGACUAGUCAAAAGCCAGUGAUCUUCUUGACUGCAUGACAAUUUAAACUUGAUACUUUUGACCCUAA